GGUGUGGCCUUCCAACAAGCUCACUCCUGAUUGGUCAGAGUUGCCAUAGCAACGCCCCUCAGACUGAAAAAGACCAAUCACUGCAUACCGACGCCGUUCGGACAACUGAGUCGACUUCUUUGGUUGGAGCUGCAGAGCUCGUAUUCUUGGACUUGAGGGGCGUGUCACUGACCAGAGCAGAUUCUAUGAAAGUGAUCAGUCAGUGAAGGUUCAGAGAGUGCAGUCUGUGCCGGAAGUGGAGAGAAAACUGAGCUGAACAUGUUUGGAUUCCUCCACAGUUUAAGGACGUGACGUUCAGCAGCUUCAGCUCUAUUUAGUCUGCUGGGAUGAGAAGUAAAGAGAACGUGAAAUCGCUCCGUGAAUCCGGGUUCUGACUACCUGGGCCGGGUUUCUCUGAGCUCCAGCACGCAUGUCUGAGUGCAGCGAUUAAUUAUAAGCAUUGGCAAUCCAAUCAAUUCCUCUAGUGAGAGUGGAGAAACAAAAUCUAUGAGGGGGGGAGUCGAUGGAGUCGAUGAACUCCGACCUUUUCAUUAAUCUCCCACCACCCACGCUAAUCAGACAGCGCAGCUACAUCAGUGUCAGGGCGGGGCUUCCUGGAUACCUAAAGGAGAGUGGCGCCGCCUUAAAACGAAACCACAGAAUAAAGCAAAGAGUGACGCCUCUGCUGCUGUGCAGGACCACUGAGGACGAGUCAGGAGUUCAUGAGUCAUCAUCCAGAGGCAACACUGUCAUCCCAGAUUAUUACUGUUUAUAAUCCAUCAGGAAACAAAAACGAUGCUCGGAUUAUUUCCUCUGUGGAAACAUUUGAACGGGGCAGUGACUCCGCCCCUCACACAUCGUUGUCAUGUCAACAAGAAAAAGAUAGCGAUGGACACGUUUGUAAUUUAGAUGUUUAAGAGUCAAAACCUCAAAAAAAAUUAAAAAA